UAUAAGACCUAGCAUUCAAAUUGUGCUCUUUAAAGAUAUUUGAUAUAAUAUAUAAAUCUGACAGAAUGAGAGAGAGAGGCAGAGACAGACCGCCAGACUCUAGGCCGACCACGCACUCUCCUGGCCACCACGAGUCUGCAGCCAGAGAGUGGUAACAGCUGCAGCUGCCACAGAGCACUGGAGACAGACCGCCGGGCAUUCGGCUCAGCCAGGUCGGCCCAUCCCAUGUGUGUCUAUGUCUGGUAGCUGAAAGCGGGGUCGUGUUGUUCCAGAUUCACCUCCCUGGGAUUGUUCUUGCAUCUCACAGCUCAACGAGAGAUGACAUCUCAGGUUUCUCUCUUCUCUUUCUCCAUCUCCCACUUCCCGGCUGCCUAGAGAGAUAGGACAGGAGACCGCCAGCUCCUGCCCAUUCAUCUGGCACUUCUAUGAGAGCCGUCACAGCCAGCGGAACGCCAAUCAUGCCCAUGGACUCUGAAGGAUCCACCCAUGGCUCUAGACACAUGGGUUGAGCAUCACCACCUGAACUCACUGUUGUCCCCUUCUUCAGCUCUGCGUCCUCCCCAACAGCAUCUGGAGCUCCAGCAGCCUGGCACCCACCUCAGUAGGGUCAGGUGUGAGCUUCCUUCCAGCAGAGCCAUUUCAGGGCCAGCUGGGAUCCCGGCAGACAGAGUUCCCAUGACAAAGCCAACGACUGCUCUGAGAAGUUAAGCAACUUCCUACCUGGCUUCCCAUAGGUAGUAGAUACACUCAGCAGCACCGUUGGGAAUUCAACUGACCGCUACUAAGUUAGACUCUCCGCUCACCACUACCUGAGCCCCGAGAACAAGAAUCCCCCUGGAACUAGGCUCUAGGCCUGUUUCAUCAAUUUGCUCCUGCUGCUUUCUACCCCUAUGGAUGUCACAUCUGGGUGCUGUGAAAGCUAUGGGGUGCCAAAGAAAGGACGAAUUCAGGUGUGGAAAAAAGUGACAUUUACCAACAUCCUGCCAUAGAGCAGUAGAGAAUACAGAUCACUUCAAUAAUCAAGGAGGUGUCAGUUGUCAGUCCCCUACCCACAGUGGUGUUAAAUGCUCCCCCAACCCUGGCAUAGGCAGCACCACUGCUCAGGAAUGGCAAUAUGACAGCCGAAGAGCCUGGACCUAGCGGGGAUGCUCUUGCUGGACCACGGAGGGCGGGAAAUGCAGGUGCCCUGAACUGUGACAAAAUAUCCUGCUUAGUGUGGGAUGUUUGCACACCAAGUAUGAUCAACAUUCUACAGUUAUAACACCUAAAAGGAGAAUUAAGCUACAGAGAACUAAGGUCACUUUACUUCUGAAUGAGGGCAUCCACUCAGGAAAUGAACGUGCUUUAACAUCACAUCUUUAUUGAAUUUAUCUUAUCUUCCCUGAGUAUCUCCAUAUAGACAAACCCCCAAGCCUCAUUGGUUGAGUGGCUGUAUAUAGGUCUAAGUAUCCAACCAGCAACAAGAUUGACUUGCGAUAAAGGAAAAGGAUUGGUGACUCUAGGCCUGAUCCAAGACUCAUUGAAGGCAAUGGUGGUGUCAGCGGUGGGGAAGGGGUGUGUCUUUCCACUGACUUCCAUGUGCACAAGAUCAAACCCUAUACGAACAACACUGCAUGGGGUGUCAUUCCCUACACUCUGAUCUUUACACUGCUUUGAAAGCUCCACAAUGUUUCACCAAAUCAUAAGGGCUAGAGAUGAAGACUCAUUAGAUGAUGGGUCCCAAGCUGUGUGACCCUGUUCCUGUGCAUAAUACAUUGUCUGGUACUUUAUGCAGUCUAAUUGUAAAAGUCACAGCUGAUGAGGCUUCUGUUACUUCCCUUGGGAGACUAUUUCACAGUAAAUUGACUGUUGGGAGGUUUUUCCAUGAUACUCAAAUUGAAUUUUCCGUUUCUUAAUCCCAGCCCAUUGCUCCUACCAUUCCCUCUCUCUGUGUUUACACCCUUCAAAUACUGCCACCGUAUGUUCCCACUACCCAUCACUACACUCCAUGUCUUAUCCAAACUGUAUUUAUUUAAUGUUUACUCUUUCCUCAUAAAUCAGUGCUGCUCCCUAGUCAUCGUGUUGCUCUUUUCUGAAUUUCAAAUUUUUGGUAACAUCAUGCCCAAAACUGAAUGCAGUAUUGCAGAUAUAAUUCCCCCAAAGCCAUAAAGGAAGGAAAUAUAAGAUGUGAUGCCUCUAUUUAUGCAGCCCCAAAUUACUUUUCUUCUCC